CGGAAGAGCUCAGCGGUGGAACCCGACUGAAAGGAAAUGAGAAGCCCUGCUUUGCUGCAGCUUCAAGACUGGGUCCCUGUACCUCCUGCAAGGGUGCUGGCCUCAGUAAACCAGGGUCUUACUAUGUAUCUCAGGCUGUCCUUGAAUGUGAAAUCAUCUUUCCUCAGCCUCUCACAUGCUGGGAUUACAGAUGGGUACCACCAUGGGAAGUCCUAUUACAUGCUGUUUUGCAAAGUACAUGCAGGCUUAGAA